rnacentral:rRNA from 1 species
GCCAAAUAGCUAGCUUAUAAUUUUUUAACUAAAAACUAUAAAUAAAAAUUUAAACCAAAAUUAUUAACCAAACCAUUUUUCUGCUUUAGUACGGGAGACGGAAAAAGUACACUUUAAGCGAUAGAAAAAGUACCGCAAGGGAAAGCUGAAAGAGCAAUGAAAUAAGUCAUAUUUAGCGCAAAAAAGCAGAGACUAAACCUCGUACCUUUUGCAUCAUGAUUUAGCAAGUAGAAGCAAGCAAAGAGACCUUUAGUUUGUUAACCCGAAACCAAGUGAGCUACCCCGAAACAGCCUUAAAGGGCGAACCCGUCUCUGUGGCAAAAGAGUGGGAAGAUUUCCGGGUAGGGGUGACAGACCUACCGAACUUGGUGAUAGCUGGUUGCCUGAGAAACGAAUAGAAGUUCAGCCUCGUAAUUCCCUUUAUCAAAAAAGCAAAAGCUAGUAUAGACUAAAAGAAAUAGACGAGAGUAAGUUAAAGGGGGUACAGCCCAUUUAACCAAGGAUACAACUUUUCCAGGAGAAUAGGGAUUAUAAUUUUUAAGACCAGUUGCUUUAGUGGGCCUAAAAGCAGCCACCUGAAUAGAAAGCGUUAAAGCUCAAACAACAAAAAAUCUCUUAUUUCAAUAAUUAAUCCGACUUCCCUAAAAGUACCAGGCCGUUCCAUGCUAACAUGGAAGAGAUUAUGCUAAAAUGAGUAACAAGAGAAAAUAAUUCUCUCCCUGCACAAGUGUAAGCCAGAUUGGACCAACCACUGGCAAUUAACGGACCCAAAAAGAGGGCAAUAUAGACAUUAUUAUAAACAAGAAAAACCUAUUAAGCAAACCGUUAAUCCCACACUGGAGUGCACCUAAGGAAAGACAAAAAGAAAAGGAAGGAACUCGGCAAACACAAGCCUCGCCUGUUUACCAAAAACAUCGCCUCCUGCAAAUAUCAAAGUAUAGGAGGUCCAGCCUGCCCAGUGACCACAAGUUCAACGGCCGCGGUAUUUUGACCGUGCAAAGGUAGCGCAAUCACUUGUCUUUUAAAUGAAGACCUGUAUGAAGGCUAAACGAGGGCUUAACUGUCUCCCUUUUCAAGUCAGUGAAAUUGAUCUGCCCGUGCAGAAGCGGACAUAAAAAUACAAGACGAGAAGACCCUUUGGAGCUUCAGGUUCAAGUUCAACCGCGUUAAACGGCUACACAAACAGCUUAAAACCUAGCGGCUUAUGCAACUUUACCUUCGGUUGGGGCGACCACGGAGAAAAAUAUAUCCUCCGAGUGGACCGGGACAAAACUCCUAGAACUAAGAAAGACAUUUCUAAGUCACAGAAAAUCUGACCAUACAUGAUCCGGUUUAUAAACCGAUCAACGGACCAAGUUACCCUAGGGAUAACAGCGCAAUCCUCUCCCAGAGUCCAUAUCGACGAGGGGGUUUACGACCUCGAUGUUGGAUCAGGACAUCCUAAUGGUGCAGCCGCUAUUAAGGGUUCGUUUGUUCAACGAUUAAAGUCCUACGUGAUCUGAGUUCAGACCGGAGUAAUCCAGGUCAGUUUCUAUCUGUAAUGUUAUUUUUCCUAGUACGAAAGGACCGGAAAAAAGAGGCCAAUGCUAAAAGCACGCCUCACCCAUAAUUAAUGAGACCAACUCAAUUAAAUAAGUGGGGACUAAAAACUAGGCAAAGAUUAAGCCAC